rnacentral:rRNA from 1 species
CCUACGGGGGGCAGCAGUAGGGAAUCUUCCACAAUGGGCGAAAGCCUGAUGGAGCAACGCCGCGUGGGUGAAGAAGGUCUUCGGAUCGUAAAACCCUGUUUUUAGAGAAGAAAGUGCGUGAGUGUAACUGUUCACGUUUCGACGGUAUCUAACCAGAAAGCCACGGCUAACUACGUGCCAGCAGCCUCGGUAAUACGUAGGUGGCAAGCGUUAUCCGGAUUUAUUGGGCGUAAAGGGAACGCAGGCGGUCUGUUAAGUCUGAUGUGAAAGUCUACGGCUUAACCGGAGUAGUGCAUUGGAAACUGGGAGACUUGAGUGCAGAAGAGGAGAGUGGAACUCCAUGUGUAGCGGUGAAAUGCGUAGAUAUAUGGAAGAACACUAGUGGCGAAGGCGGCUCUCUGGACUGUAACUGACGCUGAGGUUCGAAAGCGUGGGUAGCAAACAGGAUUAGAUACCCCUGUAGUC